GGGCCGUUAGUAUAGUGGUAGUACAUACCCUUCGCAUGGGUAGGACACCGGUUCGACUCCGGUACGGUCCA
rnacentral:tRNA from 1 species